CUGAUUUUAGUGAUCAUCAAAUGUUUACACUAAUUAUUAACCUGUGUGUUCUGUUUGUUUAACACCAAGUAUUAACCUAUUUGUUCUGUUCCUAAAAUGUUAUUGGUUUACACUAAGCAUUUACCUAUGUGUUCUGUUCCUAAAACGAUAUGUGUUUAAACUAAGUAUUUACCUAAGUGUUCUGCUCCUUAAACAGUAUUUGUUUACACUAGAAGAAUUUAACUAUGUGUUCUGUUCCUAAAAUGGUAUUUGUUUACUCUAAAUAUAAGCCUAUGUGUUCUGUUCCUAAAAUGGUAUUUGUUUGAGAUUUACCACGAUUCUAAUACAGGAUGAUCAGGAUCACAACAAUAUACAUAAUAAGAGGUCACAAACUUGGUGGAUUGGAAAUCACAGUGACAUGUUUUGGGUGAA